AUCGCUUCUCGGCCUUUUGGCUAAGAUCAAGUGUAACAUACAUGUACAGAAAAAUCACAAAGUAUGUUAUAUACCUGAAAUGUUCUUUAAUGUUCUUAUGGAAUAUAUAAGGCUCUCAUCUCCAUGAGAAAUUUAUAAACAGCUACAAAGUAGUUAACCUUCUAAACUCAAGCUGUGCUUAUAAACCCAAU